rnacentral:rRNA from 1 species
GACGAACGCUGGCGGCGUGCCUAAUACAUGCAAGUCGAACGCAGUGGGGACGGGUGAGUAACACGUGGGUAACCUCCCAUCAGAGGGGAUAACACUUGGAAACAGGUGCUAAACCGAUACUGAUGGAUGGACCCGCGGUGCAUUAGCUAGUUGGGGAGGUAACGGCUCACCAAGGCCACGAUGCAUAGCGGGCCUGAGAGGAUGAUCGGCCACACGGGAACUGAGACACGGCCCAGACUCCUACGGGAGGCAGCAGUAGGGAAUAUUGGGCAAUGGACGAAAGUCUGACCCAGCAACGCCGCGUGAGUGAAGAAGGUUUUCGGAUCGUAAAGCUCUGUUGGUAGAGAAGCGGUAUCUAACCAGAAAGCCACGGCUAACUACGUGCCAGCAGCCGCGGUAAUAC